rnacentral:lncRNA from 1 species
AAUGAGAAUUUAUGGUGCCAAUCAGUGUUUUAGGGAUUUCUACAUGUUACUUAAUUCUACAUUCACAAUAAUUAUGCAAAAUUUUUACAUAAUGGGCAAAGAACGUAAGAGAACUAGGAAAUUUGACUUUGGUGUCUUAGCUAGUAAAUAGUCAGAUAAGAAUAUAAAACCCAGUUAUGUCUGAAUACUUUGCCUCUAUAAUGCAGUGUCUCCAUAGAGCUCCAUUUAUAGCAUAGGCAAAUAUUGUUUUUAUCAGUGUAUAAUUUGCUUCUUUAUCCCUCUCCUCUACAUUGUUUUUAUGCUCUCCUAUUGUUCAAUAUCUUCCAAUUUUCUUUUGUUCAAGUUCACCACUGUCAUGCUCCAAACAACCCAAAGUCAUUUCCUGACCUUCCAUGCUUUCCAUAAAACCUUAUCUGUCUCUUAUCUAAUUCAUUCCACCCUUUUUAUUUUCCUAAAUAACGCUAAUAUUUCAUUGGUUCUAAAGUAUUCAUGAAUGUAACAAGGCAACGUAGAGACAAUAUGGUCACCAAAGACCUGUUUACUAUGAGGAAAAUAAUAAAAAUCUGGUUAAUCAAAAUUCAGUAAUAUAGAAUUCUUAAAUUUCCAAAAUGGCUCUGGAACAAAACCAGAAAAUUACAGCCCCUGAAUUGAAAUGAAGUUGCAGUCAGCCCAUGAACAAGCAAUAAACACCGAACAAGAAUCACAGAGCCCAUCAUUUUAUUUGAUUCUUCAAGUUCAUGGCAAAGAAGGCAGCUGUCCCUUAGAGAAAGGCUUUUAUGUUUUUUGUUUUUGUUUUUAUAACAUGAGUAAGAAUUGGAUGCAAAAUAAAUUGAAAAAUUGGAGAAAAAAGGCAGGGGAGAAGUACACCAGACUUCAGGGUUGGCAGCAUUGGUUUUAACAAUAGUGAUCAGGGUGGGGCAGUGACAGAAAACUCAAAGGCAGGCAGGCAUGAACAGCAGACAUCUGAACAGCAGAGAAAAAAACAUGAUGACAAAGAAAUGAAGAAAGAGCAUCUGUGCAUCAGGGCAAGAGGUGAAAAGAGGUAUGCUCAUCUUUAGUCUAACCCUUUGAUAAAGGGGAAAAGUCAAAGGCUUUGAAGUUUCUAACUGAGGGUUAAAAGAGAAAUCUGUCCUGGAUAAUAUAAUCAAAGACACCAAACUUCGAUAAUCAAACAAGGGCUUGCAUUAUACUUUGUGAUGUUCCCAUCAAUUUCUAAAAGUAUACAAACUACUAAUUUUAAGGUUUCACAAAAAAAAACAUGAUAUAAUUUUAAAUGUUUCAGGAGGUCACAAAACUAGGAAGAAGCAUCAGAAUUUGGAUGUUUAACACAGCUAUAACUAAACCAAAGGCCACUAAGAACUCUUAAAGAUUUUCCCAGCUCAAAUAUUCUACAUAUAUUCCUUUUAGUUAUUACUUGUGGGAGAUAACUUAAUAAAAUAUCCAAUGUUAAGUUCAAUGUUAAUGGACUUUGUUACCUUUUGUUCACCUCCAUAAAUAUUGACCUACUAUGCAUCAAUUAGGAAGCUGAGCACUAAGGUUUUGAAGAUUAAUAAGCAACCAGCUUCAAAGUAAUCCAGUGGGGGAACCACAUAUAAAUAUAUCAUGCCAAUGUGAUCUUGUAAAGUCAUAAUAUGAUACAGAUAAGCCUGGGCAUUAUACCAACAUACAGAAAAGGCAUGUGUCCUAGCCUAGGGUAUAGGAGAUGCAUAUUAGAGAAAAUGAUGACAAUGCUCAAUCUUGAAGAAACAGUCUACAAUUAAGCAAUAAUAAAACAUCAAUGAGCCUUUUUCCUCUGAUUAUUUGGAAAAGUUUAGGCAACCUUUAAAGUGCAAAGUAUCAGAGAAGCAUUAAGGCUAUAGGAAAAGAUUCACAUACACCAUUUUUGUUUAAUGAUUUUUACUUAUGAUCUACUAUAAUUACUCAAAAUAGACAUUUCUUAUAUCCUGUAUUUUGGGCUCAGAUUUUUAACUUCCUGACCUAGAAAUGCUCAGUUCUUUAGUCUUUCCUACACUAUAUAAUUAUCUAGUCUAUAGAGCAUAGCCCAUAUAGUCAGGAGCAACUAAUUAAGAAUCUAACAUUGUACUUUAUAAAUGGAAUAUAUUUGCUUUAAAAGUUUCUUUCUUAGUUUAUGUCUUAGUGAGGGAUUCAUCAAUCUCAGGUUGCACAUGUUUAAAGCACUCCAUCAUUAGGAAAUAGCAACGAUGAACAUAGAUCAAACCAUAGAUAAAGAGCCUAUCAAAACAAGCAUUUAUUGAAAUCUUCUGUCAUUGUUAGGAGACAAUUUCCUAAGGGUCUCACGUUUCUGCACAUCUUAUGAAAGAAGGAUUGGCUGCUUUUGUUCUGAACUAUUUUUAAAAGAAGUUUGUAAAGCAAAUAACCUUGAAGGUAGAACUAGCAUCUCCUUGUAAAGUAAGGCAUAAUCAUCCAUUAUAAAAGAUUUGCACUCCUUAAGUUCAGGAUCCCUUUCUUGCACUGUUUAAGCAUCAGCUGGGCUGUUCUGUGUUUUCUUGUGGAAACUAGGACUUAGGGAACCACUGCAAAAAUGCUGAAACUUUUGCUACUGCUAUGAAUAAUAAAUUGUCCUUCAUCUCUGACCCUAAUGUCUUCUGCCACCAUCCAUGAAUCUGUGGCAGGUUUUCAUGACAGUUUGAAACUAGAGUAACAUCUCAAACUCUUCAGAGUUUUUGAUCAUUUUGGUAAUAAGGAUGGGAUGUUGACAUACAUAGACAUGGCUUUCUUUCUUAAAAAAGAAGGAUGAGGGCCUCACAGGUCCAUUAAUGAAUUUGAGGGUAGGUCUACGGGAAUCAGUAGCAAAUAAUAUAAUCUAUUGGCAAUAAAGGUCCUCCACUUUUUUGCCUGGAAUUAAGUAAGCUAAGUAGCAGGAAGUAGGUAAAAUACAGAUGGCAAGAUGCUGUUCUGUUGUUUAUCCUCCUCUAGGUGGAAGGACUUCUUGCAAUCUGGUGGCCAGCCUCUGAUCUGCAGCACAAGUUACAACUAAUACUAAGAUUUGUACUGGGUAGGCAGAAGGUUGCUUCCUAUUUCAGACAACAGAGGAAUGCACACACAAAUUGAGUAUGAAAGGGAAAAUUCCAUAACAGAACCCAGGUGGAUCAUUAGAAUUUUGACUGGCUCACAUGAGAAAGAAGGAGCAUGGAGAACAGGGCUUAUUAAGCAAUAAUGGCAAGUAGUAAGUUGUCUUUUUUUUUUUUUUAAUUUAUUUAUGAUAGUCACAGAGAAAGAGAGGCAGAGACAUAGGCAGAGGGAGAAGCAGGCUCCAUGCACCGGGAGCCCGACGUGGGAUUCGAUCCCGGGUCUCCAGGAUCGCGCCCUGGGCCAAAGGCAGGUGCUAAACCGCUGCGCCACCCAGGGAUCCCCAGUAAGUUGUCUUAUAGCUAUCUCUCUCCUGCAUUCUAUUAUGUUAAAUAUAUUCAUCUGGAAGUAACAGUAAAAUUGCUCAGAGUUUUGGUUUCUGUUUUUGUU